rnacentral:rRNA from 1 species
GACGGGUGAGUAACGCGUGAGUAACCUGCCUUUCANAGGGGGAUAACGUUCUGAAAAGAAACGCUAAUACCGCAUAACAUCAAUUUAUCGCAUGAUAGGUUGAUCAAAGGAGCAAUCCGCUGGAAGAUGGACUCGCGUCCGAUUAGCCAGUUGGCGGGGUAACGGCCCACCAAAGCGACGAUCGGUAGCCGGACUGAGAGGUUGAACGGCCACAUUGGGACUGAGACACGGCCCAGACUCCUACGGGAGGCAGCAUG